rnacentral:rRNA from 1 species
GAUACCCUGGUAGUCCCAGCCGUAAACGAUGGACACUAGUUGCCGGAGGAGUCAAUCCCUUCGGUGACGAAGCUCACGCAUUAAGUGUCCCGCCUGGGGAGUACGCUCGCAAGGGUGAAACUCAAAGGAAUUGACGGGGGCCCGCACAAGCGGUGGAGCAUGUGCUCCAAUUCGAUGCAACGCGAAGAACCUUACCUGGGUCUGACAUGGGGGUGAAAGUUUCCAGAGAUGGAAGCCUUUCCUUCGGGAACACCCCACACAGGUGCUGCAUGGUCGUCGUCGGCUCGUGUCGUGAGAUGUUGGGUUAAGUCCCGCAACGAGCGCAACCCCUGCCCUUAGUUGCCAUCAGGUAAAGCUGGGAACUCUAAGGGGACAGCUUGGUAUAACCAGGAGGAAGGUGGGGAUGACGUCAAAUCAUCAUGGCUCUUACGCCCAGGGCUAGACACGUGCUACAAUGGCAGGUACAGUGGGAUGCCAGCCUGCGAAGGUGAGCUAAUCCCUUAAAACCUGUCUCAGUCCGGAUUGGAGUCUGCAACUCGACUCCAUGAAGUUGGAAUCGCUAGUAAUCGCGGAUCAGCACGCCGCGGUGAUACGUUCCCGGGCCUGUACACACCGCCCGUCAAGCCAUGAAAGGCGGUAGUACCCGAAGUCGCGUACCCAACCGUAAGGAGGGAAGCGCCGAA